AAGUCGUAACAAGGUAACCGUAGGUGAACCUGCGGUUGGAUCAUUAGUAAAAUUUUGGGAACUCUGUUCCUGAACACUGUGUGCACUCAUUGUCUGUCUCUGGCGGAACCAGGAGCGGUUUGCUGGGUUCUGAGGCUCGUGUGCGUCCGCAAACGGGCUGCCGUGGGUUGAUGGACUCGGUGAGCUCUCCCUCCGCCGAAUGUUUUUUGAACCAACCCAUGUCUGUUAUGUUUUUGUCUGAUCUUGGUUUCUUGGUCUGUCACCCUCUGGGUGUGCGGCUGAAAUCUUUAAAACAACUUUUGACAACGGAUCUCUUGGCUCUC
rnacentral:misc_RNA from 1 species